GAAGAAAAAAGUCAUACAGCUUUGGAACGACAUGCGGAGACGUGUAAUGAGGAGCCCACCUGAGCCUAAAGAUCUGUAGGAACGGAUUCUGUUUGAGUGUGAGCAGUGCAGGAGAUGAAACGGCAGACUGCCAGAGCUGUUUUUCUUCAUCUGAGGGCUUUUGAGGUCUUUUUGAGAUACAAAUUUAGAGAGAUGUCAUGAGGAGGAGACAUAAAAUAGAUUAGGAAAAUAGAUGAGAAAACAUCACAGGC